rnacentral:rRNA from 1 species
AGGGUUCGAUUCUGGCUCAGGAUGAACGCUAGCUACAGGCUUAACACAUGCAAGUCGAGGGGCAGCAUGAUCAAAGCUUGCUUUGAUUGAUGGCGACCGGCGCACGGGUGAGUAACGCGUAUCCAACCUUCCCUAUAGUAGUGGAUAGCCCGGCGAAAGUCGGAUUAAUACACUAUGUUAUUCAACGAGGACAUCUGAAAUGAAUCAAAGGCUUGCCGCUAUAGGAUGGGGAUGCGUCUGAUUAGAUAGUAGGCGGGGUAACGGCCCACCUAGUCGACGAUCAGUAGGGGUUCUGAGAGGAAGGUCCCCCACAUUGGAACUGAGACACGGUCCAAACUCCUACGGGAGGCAGCAGUGAGGAAUAUUGGUCAAUGGACGGGAGUCUGAACCAGCCAAGUAAGCGUGCAGGAUGACGGCCCUAUGGGUUGUAAACUGCUUUUAUACGGGGAUAAAGUGAGCCACGUGUGGCUUUUUGUAGGUACCGUAUGAAUAAGGACCGGCUAAUUCCGUGCCAGCCGCCGC